rnacentral:rRNA from 1 species
GAUGAACGCUAGCUACAGGCUUAACACAUGCAAGUCGAGGGACCGGCGCACGGGUGAGAAAUAUGUAUCCAACCUGCCCUUUACUCGGGGAUAGCCUGUAGCAAGAAAGAUUAAUACCAGACAUAAAGGAAGGGGAUGCGUUCCAUUAGGUUGUUGGUGAGGUAACGGCUAACUAAGCCUUCGAUGGCUAGGGGUUCUGAGAGGAAGGUCCCCCACAUUGGAACUGAGACACAGUCCAAACUCCUACGGGGGGCAGCAGUGGAGUAUAUAGGUCGAUGGGCCCUGGCGUGGACCAGCCGAGUAGCGUGAAAAAUGAAGGCUUCUGGGACGUAGGCUUCUUUUGUAGAAGAAUAUGUAUUAUAUGAAUAAGGAUCGGCUAACUCCGUGCCAGCAGCCGCGGUAAUUC